rfam:Rattus norvegicus chromosome 20, whole genome shotgun sequence.
GGGGAUUUAGCUCAGUGGUAGAGCGCUUGCCUAGGAAUCACAAGGCCCUGGGUUCGGUCCCCAGCUCCG